GUAGUUAGCCGGGGCUUCCUCACAAGGUACCGUCACUUCUUCGUCCCUUGCGACAGAGGUUUACAACCCGAAAGCCUUCUUCCCUCACGCGGCGUUGCUGGGUCAGGCUUGCGCCCAUUGCCCAAUAUUCCCCACUGCUGCCUCCCGUAGGAGUCUGGACCGUGUCUCAGUUCCAGUGUGGCCGAUCAGCCUCUCAGCUCGGCUACCCAUCGUCGGCAUGGUGGGCCUUUACCCCGCCAUCUACCUAAUGGGACGCGAACCCCUCCUAAAGCGAUAAAUCUUUGACCCCUCUGCCAUGCGACAGUGUGGUCUUAUGCGGUAUUAGCAUCAAUUUCUCGAUGUUGUCCCCCACUUUAGGUCAGGUUGUUCACGCGUUACUCACCCGUUCGCCACUAAGCUAUCAAACCGAAAUCCAAUAGCUCCGUUCGACUUGCAUGUGUUAGGCACGCCGCCAGCGUUCGUCCUGAGCCAUAGACUACAACUCUAGA
rnacentral:rRNA from 1 species